AGAUAGUCCAUCUCAUUGGCAGUAUUUACCAUGAAUAACGAUACCCCAAGCAUGAUUCAUGAUCCAUUGAUUGAUUCCACAGGAGAUGGAGGCUAUGCAUUGAGUGGAAAAAUUAUGCUAAGUGCUAUUGUUAUCUUAUUCACUGUUGUUGUUUUCAUGGUGGGUCUUCAUUUAUAUGCUCGUUGGUACCUUGUGUCUCAGCGCCGCCGUGAACUCCUUCGCCGCCGUAGGGUCAACCAUCGACGGACUCAUAUUGUUUUCUACGUUGAUAAUCCUGGUUCCGGUUUGUCUGAUGCUAACCGGGGUUUGGAACAGGCGGUUCUCAGUUCCUUGCCGGUUUUUGUUUAUUCCGACAAGACUCACCCGGAACCGCUGGAAUGUGCUGUUUGUUUAUCGGAAUUUGAGGAGAAUGAAAAGGGUCGGGUUUUACCCAAGUGUAAUCACUCUUUUCAUUCGGAAUGUAUUGAUAUGUGGUUUCAUUCUCAUUCUACGUGCCCUCUUUGUCGCUCUCCGGUGGAGGCAGUACUUAUCGGACCGGAUAUUAACCGGGUUGAGGUGGCGGUAACAGUGAACGAACCGGGUUCGAGUUCGGGUUGUGAGGAGAAUAGUAGUCAUCAUUCUAAUAUGACGCCGUUGGGUUGCCGGCGAAAAGGAUUGGAUCUGACCGGAGUAAGAAUAGAGGUACCAAGAAGGAACGAUUUCGAAGCCGAUUUGGAAAUGGGAGUGAGAGUAAGUUCACCGGCGAUUCAAUCGAGAUCACCAGCGACUCGUUUAAUGUCUUUGAGAAGAAUCCUAAGUAUGAACAGAAAAACACCCACCGGAACUAGCCAUUCUCCUAGUGGAAGUUGCGCCGCGGAUUUUGAUAUAGAAACCGGCGGUAGUAGUGGUGGUGGAAAAAUUCAAGUCGGCGGCGAACGCAUCACAACUCCGUGAGUUAAAAAUGCGGGCACACAUCCCUAGGCAAAAGCUGAAAAAUAUUGAGUCACGCCGAUUGCGUGAAAACAGGAGAAACAGUGACUUGACUGACAGAAAAGUCCUAUGACACGUGGCAAUUGCUGAGUGAUUCACCUUUUACAAGGCAGUCAUAGUAGACUUUGAGGGGGGAAUGUUUGACUUGUAAAUUAAUGGUAGGAUUAGAAAAAUGCAAAGUUGUAAAGCGUUACGUGCAAGAGUCAAUUACAAUGUGUCUAUUCUAAAUUCGUUGAAUUUUUUUUCCCUAUUAUAAAGUAUUUGAUAAACGUUGGUUCCUAAUUUAUGACUCGUGUAGUUGGUAAGUGGAAUAGUUCAAUCAUGUUAAAG
rnacentral:misc_RNA from 1 species